GUAUCUAUUUAAGGUGUACAAAUUGAAGAAUUUUAAAUUCAUAAGAAAAUAACAGUGCAUACUGCAUGGUUCUAUUUGUUGCAAAACUCCAGAAGUACAAUGUUUUGACUGCUGUUAUAUGAUUAUUAAAAAUUUAAUCCCCCUACCUCUGUGUCCUUAGUUUUGAAAAGAAUGUGAAAUAAUAAACUUAACUUCUAAAAGGUGUUGUAACUAAAAAUGAAAUCUGUAGAAAUACACUGAGUCCAAAGAAAAAAUUCAAGGAUAAAUUGAUGUGUAUGCAUAUUUGUAUACAUUUUUCUUCAACUAAACACACGCACAUAUAUGCCCAGGAACACAGACUCCCUUAUAAUCAUAUGUAUUAUGGUGAAGUAAGCCUUUAUGAAAAGCUAGAGAAUAAAAAGAAAUAACAAAUGUUUGAACCAAAAUGAAAUUCAAGGAAUGUAGAAAUUUAGACACAAAGUUUUAAAGCGUUGGCGGACAUCUGAGGCUGCUGUGUACAGGUGGGCGGCGAGAGGCUGAGGCGAGAGGCGACGGAGUGGGUGUCGGUAGGCAGAGGGGGGCGGCUUCCGUGGUGGUGGCAGUGGCCAGGGGCGGUGUCAGGGGGAUGCCAGCGUGGGAGGCGUCGGCUUCGGCGGCUGCGAACGUCCCGGGCUGCCAUGCGCACAAGUGCAGCAAGAGGUGGCGGCGAGAGGCGGAGGGAGCGGGCAGCGGCGGCGUCAGCCCGGUGGGGGACAGCGUCGAUGGCUUGCGGUGGCUUCGGGGGUGGCGGUGUCGCUGGGGGACGGGAGUUGGUGGCGGUGAGCGGCAGUUGGCGGCGGCGGCGCGCGCUGUCCGUCGUUGCGGGGAGGGGGCAGCGACCUAAGGGGCGGGGUCCGCCCGCAACCGACGCUGCGCGCCAUCCCCCGGCCAGCCAACUCCACCCGCUUUCGGUGCCCAACACGCCCUCCUUCCAACAAAUCGCAGCCACCCGCCGCAGAGGACGCUUCCCGCCUGUCCUCCCUCCCCCGCCUGUUCCUCCCGCUGACACCGCCCGGGAGCAGUGCCGACACCGCCGCCCGGGAAGGCCGGCAUCCGCUGACGACGCCCACGGCCAGCGCCCUCCAACACCAACCGCCCGCCCGCGGCCUUCUACCGCAGCCUCCUCCCGCCGGCUUCAGGGCCCCCGCGCCAGGCACCCGGUGCCCCCGUCCUCACUCAGGCCUCGCCUCCUCGCAGCAGCAGCUCAUAGUAAGUAGCCAGCCCCAGGGGCGGGCGGCGUCGGGGGACGGAGAGGGAGCGAGCGGGGAAGUCGUCUCCUGCCGGAGGCCGCAGGGAGGCUGCGGCGGUGUCUGUGGGUGGGGCCGCAGUCCCAGCCCGCCGUCUGCAGGUGCGCCGUGAGAGGAGGCAGAGGCGGCGGCGGGCUGCGGCGUCUGCGGUGAGGGGCAGCCUCGACGGGCUGCGGUCCAUCGUGGGCCGUGACGUCCGUCGCGAUGGGAGGCUGUGUCUGCUGUCCGGGCGGACCUCCGAGGCUGCCUUCUGCAGAUGCCUCCCGCUGACCCCGGCCCGGACGCCUGCCAACACCGCUACCUGCCAUUGCCUUCUCCCGCUGACACCGACGUCGCUGCCUUCUGCUGCCAGACGCCCAAUGCCUCCUACCCCAGACUUAUGCCGCCGCCAACAGGGACCCUCCUUGCCGGGGACCGGGCUCCCUCGUUCCCACGCAGGCCUAGCCGCCCUGCAGCAGCCUCAGCUCAUAGGAAGUAGCUGCCCCCACGUUGGCUUUUUCAUCAGAGAGUUUGGGGGUGGUGCGUGGGCCCUGGGAGGAAAGUCAAAAGUUAUGGGUGGGCGUUGGAAAGCUAUGAGAGGGGCACGCACUUACCCAGCCAGGAAGGUGACCUGAUCUCAGCCAGGAGCUCCCCAGGCGCACCAGCUUCUCUGACUGCAGGUAAUGCUUUGAGUGUCAGGUCCCGGGGCACGCAAGCAAGGGCACUGCGAGGAUGCUUUCGCUGGGGAGGGGGUUCCUCCUGUGCUCCCAGGCUGGUCAGCACAGGAGUCCAGGGGGUGUAUAAGUUCUUAAAGAGAGGCUUGACUUGUCUAAUGUUUGGUAAAAGUUUUGUGAGUAAUCUAGCAUAGUUAUUGGGAACGAGUAAACAAGUGUAGCAAGUAAACAUCUUAAUAAUUGUGUUACAGCAUAUUACAGUGUGUAUACCUACUAACAGCCUGUGUAUACCUACAAACAGCAGGUUGUGGUAACCUAAAACCUGCAAGUUUUGCUAAGUAGACAUAUUUUAUACUUAGAGAUUGUGCUCUAAAGCACACAGUUCCAGUAAUUAUAAAAUGUGUUCAUAAAUUUGUCAAUCUAAAGAAUGCUAGUAUAACAGUUUGCAAUAGCCUACUUUUCAGUGUUCACUGAAAAUUAAAGUUCCUAAUGGUUUUAAGUUCUAAUUAAAACUACUUGAAGUAAUAAGGAAAACA